GCCUGGGUGGCUCAGUGGGUUAAGCAUCUGACUUCUGCUCAGGUCACGAUCCUGUGGUUUGUGAGUUCGAGCCCCACAUCGGGCU
rnacentral:tRNA from 1 species